rnacentral:rRNA from 1 species
UUCUAACCGUAAACGAUGACAACUAGCGAUUAGUCGGCGUUAAUUUACGACCCGACUAGCAGCUUCCGGGAAACCAAAGUUUUUCGUUUCCGGGGGAAGUAUGGUUGCAAAGCUGAAACUUAAAGGAAUUGACGGAAGGGCACCACCAGGAGUGGAGCCUGCGGCUUAAUUUGACUCAACACGGGAAAACUCACCCGGCCCGGACACCGUAAGGAUUGACAGACUGAGAGCUCUUUCUUAAUUCGGUGGGUGGUGGUGCAUGGCCGUUCUUAGUUGGUGGAGCGAUUUGUCUGGUUAAUUCCGAUAACGAACGAGACUCUGGCCUAUUAAAUAGACGGUAUAUCGAAAAAUAUAUCGCGCUUCUUAGAGGGACAAGCGGCGUCUAGCCGCAUGAAAUAGAGCAAUAACAGGUCUGUGAUGCCCUUAGAUGUCCGGGGCUGCACGCGCGCUACACUGAAAGAAUCAGCGUGCGCAAAACCUAGUUCGGAAGAACCGGGUAACCCGAGUAAAUUCUUUCGUGCUUGGGAUAGGGAAUUGCAAUUAUUUCCCUUAAACGAGGAAUUCCCAGUAAAUGCGGGUCAUAAGCUCGCGUUG